rnacentral:rRNA from 1 species
GUGCCAGACUCCUACGGGAGGCAGCAGUGGGGGAUAUUGCACAAUAGGGGGAACCCUGAUGCAGCGACGCCGCGUGGGUGAAGAAGUAUUUCGGUAUGUAAAGCUCUAUCAGCAGGGAAGAAAAUGACAGUACCUGACCAAGAAGCCCCGGCUAACUACGUGCCAGCAGCCGCGGUAAUACGUAGGGGGCAAGCGUUAUCCGGAUUUACUGGGUGUAAAGGGAGCGUAGACGGUUAUGUAAGUCUGGAGUGAAAGCCCGGGGCCCAACCCCGGGACUGCUCUGGAAACUGCGUCGCUGGAGUACGGGAGGGGCAGGCGGAAUUCCUGGUGUAGCGGUGAAAUGCGUAGAUAUCAGGAGGAACACCGGCGGCGAAGGCGGCCUGCUGGACCGUGACUGACGUUGAGGCUCGAGAGCGUGGGGAGCAAACAGGAUUAGAUACCCCUGUAAC